UAUGUUGAUCGUGUUUAAAUA
rnacentral:piRNA from 1 species